GACGAACGCUGGCGGCGUGCUUAACACAUGCAAGUCGAACGGUGAAGCGAGUGCUUGCACUCGUGGAUCAGUGGCGAACGGGUGAGUAACACGUGAGUAACCUGCCCUUCACUCUGGGAUAAGCACUGGAAACGGUGUCUAAUACUGGAUACGACCAACCCUUGCAUGGGGUGUUGGUGGAAAGAUUUAUCGGUGAUGGAUGGACUCGCGGCCUAUCAGCUUGUUGGCGGGGUAAUGGCCCACCAAGGCGACGACGGGUAGCCGGCCUGAGAGGGUGACCGGCCACACUGGGACUGAGACACGGCCCAGACUCCUACGGGAGGCAGCAGUGGGGAAUAUUGCACAAUGGGCGAAAGCCUGAUGCAGCGACGCCGCGUGAGGGAUGACGGCCUUCGGGUUGUAAACCUCUUUCAGCAGGGAAGAAGCGAAAGUGACGGUACCUGCAGAAGAAGCACCGGCUAACUACGUG
rnacentral:rRNA from 1 species